GGAGGCAGCAGUGGGAAUUUUGCGCAAUGGACGAAAGUCUGACGCAGCAACGCCGCGUGAGGAUGACGGCCUUCGGGUUGUAAACCUCUGUGAGUGGGAAGAAAAGCUUUGUGGUUAUAUCCACAGAGUCUGACGGUACCACUUCGAAGGAAGCUCCGUGCUAANCUUAACGUGCCAGCAGCCGCGGUAAUACGUAGGGGUGCUAGCGUUGUUCGGAAUCACUGGGCGUAAAGGGAGUGUAGGCGGACCGGUAAGUUAGGAGUUAAAUGUACGGGCUCAACCCGUGAUCUGCUUUUAAUACUGUCGGUCUUGAGUAUGGGAGAGGGAGAUGGAAUUCCAGGUGUAGCGGUGGAAUGCGUAGAUAUCUGGAAGAACACCAGUUGCGAAGGCGGUCUCCUGGACCAAUACUGACGCUGAUGCUCGAAAGCUGGGGGAGCGAACAGGAUUAGAUACCCUGGUAGUCCCAGCCGUAAACGAUGGACACUGGUUGCCGGAGGAGUCAAUCCCUUCGGUGACGAAGCUAACGCAUUAAGUGUCCCGCCUGGGGAGUACGCUCGCAAGGGUGAAACUCAAAGGAAUUGACGGGGGCCCGCACAAGCGGUGGAGCAUGUGCUUUAAUUCGAUGCAACGCGAAGAACCUUACCUGGGUUUGACAUGGGGGUGAAAGUUUCCAGAGAUGGAAGCCUUUCCUUCGGGAACACCCCACACAGGUGCUGCAUGGUUGUCGUCAGCUCGUGUCGUGAGAUGUUGGGUUAAGUCCCGCAACGAGCGCAACCCCUGCCCUUAGUUGCCAUCAGGUAAAGCUGGGAACUCUAAGGGGACAGCUUGGUAUAACCAGGAGGAAGGUGGGGAUGACGUCAAAUCAUCAUGGCUCUUACGCCCAGGGCUAGACACGUGCUACAAUGGCAGGUACAGUGGGAUGCCAGCCUGCGAAGGUGAGCUAAUCCCUUAAAACCUGUCUCAGUCCGGAUUGGAGUCUGCAACUCGACUCCAUGAAGUUGGAAUCGCUAGUAAUCGCGGAUCAGCAUGCCGCGGUGAAUACGUUCCCGGGCCUUGUACACACCGCCCGUCAAGCCAUGUAAGGCGGUAGUACCCGAAGUCGCGUACCCAACCGUAAGGAGGGAA
rnacentral:rRNA from 1 species